ACCGAGGUGGUGAAAUUGGUAAACACGCUAUUAUGAGAUAAUAGUGCUUAUGCUUAUGGGUUCAAAUCCCUUCCUCGGUA
rnacentral:tRNA from 1 species